rnacentral:lncRNA from 1 species
UCAUGAGAAAAAAAGAAAUUGAAUAAUAGUUCAAUUUUAACAAACAAAACACAAAAAUAUAUUAAACAUAAAUAAAAUAAAAAAAUAAAACAUAAAAGAGAGAGAAAGGAAAAAAAGAAAACAAAUAUUUGCCCAGAAUCCUCUUCUUCUGUCAUCUGUCUUUCUCUGUUGCUUGCUUUUCCUCCAUGGCAGCAGAACAGAGGAUGUUCUUAUCACAAAAAUAAGACAUCUGUGCCACCACCUCUGCCCCGCCGCCGCCGCCGCCGCACCACCGCCACCACAGCCGCAGUCAGCAAACAGAAAUUCAACCCGCCACUCCCCACUCUGCUAAUUCCAUCUCAAUGGCCACGAUCUGAAUCCCAGAACAUGUCCCAGAAAUAGACUAAAACUGAUCCAACGGUUCCCCCACUCCGGCGCGAUCC